rnacentral:rRNA from 1 species
AUAACGACUCUCGGCAACGGAUAUCUCGGCUCUCGCAUCGAUGAAGAACGUASCGAAAUGCKAUACUUGGUGUGAAUUGCAGAAUCCCGUGMACCAUCGAGUCUUUGAACGCAAGUUGCGCCCUAAGCCUUUUGGCCGAGGGCACGUCUGCCUGGG